UCAUACAAAUUUCAAUUCUCAAUCCAUUACAGAUAACGUAAAUGCGAUAAUGGAAAUUAUUGUUACGCGUUACUUCUCCAACCACGAGAGUAUUAAUAACGCGAGGAUUAGACCGCCACGGCACGAUUUAUCUUAAACCGAACGCCACGCUCGUUUCAGAUAACUACCGCCACUUUUACGAUCAUUCUUUAAUGGCGCGUGUGCCAACGGGUUAUCCAGCUACCCGUCUGCCGCCACAGAUAAUACAGAUUAGGAAACACGCGCUCAGCUUUUCCAUCAUUUUCAAUGUCAAAAAUUAAAUAAUAUUUCGAAUCUUCACGUUCACGAACAAGUUACGUAUGGUUCUUUUACGAGCAGAUCGACACAAAAGUAUUACGAAAAUGCACUAACGUGUUUGCAUAUUGCAAGAUUCGCCAAUUUCUCUAAAGUCAGGUACAAAUCGACGUUCUACCGACUCCAAUUGAUACAAAUAUCUUUACUCGACCCUAUAUAGAUGAUCGCAAAUUGUUUCCUCGAAUACCGAAAAUAAUCGACGGAAAGUACGACACAACCAGCAUCGAGUCAGUAAGAAAACACCAGCUGCGGAGAAACAUUCGUUUUCAACUUGGUGAGCAAAAGGUGUUUUUCGUUAAAAAGAGAACCACGGUUGCAGACGUUCCAGCUGACAAGUUGGCGAGAAAGCUUCGCCAACGGGCCAACACGAGACAAAGUAGAAAGACACGGAAAGCGCGCGAACAUGCGUACGCCGCAAAUGGGUCGAAGCCGGUGUGACAAAGGAACGGAGCGAACAAGAGGAAAGAGAAAAGGUAAGUACAGUGACCUCUGGCGAUGGCUCGUGUUCGAACGAUGGCUUACCAACUGCUCGGCCAAGGCCAUUAAUACCGAUGUAUCUCGUGCACGGCGCAGAAAUGGAAACGACGAAAAAGCUUUAUUUACCGUAGAUCCUCCUAUAUAAUAUACAAAUACAAUAUAUAUAAUCGGUAGAAGAAAUACGACAAAGUCGUAAAUUAACGCAAGCCUCGGUCGUACCAAUGAAUUGCUGAUACUCGGAAUCGCAUAUGAGUCACUCGAGAACCAAACGAAUCGGCUACAUUUUCUCGAAAUUUCUUCGUCUUGGUGUAAGAGCAAGCACGAAGAGCAAGGGCAAUUUUCUAAUUAAUCUGAAAAUCCGUUUAAUUUAGUUUAAUUGACGAUCGUGACGAUUUUACACGACUUUCCUGCUAGUUCUGCUUGCCGGCCACGAUCGCAAAUACGAUUUCGUACGAUAUGACAAAACAUUACUAUAGCCCUUCGUAAUACAAAAUGAAAAAGUACCAUAACCUCCGUAUAGAUAGAUGCGAUAGGUCAAUUCUGGAAGGAAAUAAUAGAUUUUUAAGGUUAAACGUAUCUUCUAACACGUCGGUGUUAAAUAUUUACGUACGUGAAAAGAUUUAUUCUAUAUUUCUGGCAAUUUUUCCACCUCUAUAGAGUUCUAUGCGCGAGAGAGAUACUUUCCAAGCAUGGGGGAGGGGGCUACUGUAUUUAUCUCACCCACCCCACCCACGAACGCGAUCGCUCGACGAGGCAAGCAUUCGCGAAAGAUUUCCAACGAGUUCUGUUCGCAGACAAAAGCAACACGACGCCAACAACUUUCUAUAUAUCGACGUGUCUAAAUGGAAAGUUUCGAGCUUCGUUAAAAACGAAUUAGAAGACUCUGAAUUAGUAGAAUUUUGAAACGUAACUAGGAACGUUGGAUGAUUUUAAACAUGCCACCCUAGUGUUUCAUAUGCAACAUAUUUUUUUAAUUGUACAGGCAAGUUAUUUAUAUUUUGUAUUUCGUUUGAAAAGCAAAUUUCACUUGGUGUCAAGAUGACGCAGUACCAGAAAUUCUAUAACGCGUCAACUUGAACCAACUUGCUUCGGGAGUCGCGACAAUGGCAAGUCGAACACACUUUUAUCCGUACACGAUAGAUACAGAAUUUUCCCCCUUUGUUCGCAAUUGUAAACUGUAUACGAUGAAAGUUGAUCGAUUCAAACGUGGAUAUGCAAUUUAUGUUUGUAAUUUAGUUCUCAAAUGGUUUAUUUUCAACUUGCUAACAAUAUCGUCCAAUACUCAAACACAUUUUAAAACGUUUAGAACAUUUCGACGAUACGUCGUACGAUUUAUUAGUUGCGUUACUCGGCUGCUUCCAAUCUCACGACAAUAACGUUUAUUCCGCUAAUCCAAACGUUUCAGUAUAGACACGAUAUGCAUCCUAAAUACACUUUUAAUUGUCAUAAAAGGAAAAAACUAAAGGAAAAAUCGUAGAAACGAAAAGGAAAUAUCAACAACGACUGCGACGCGUUUAAAAAGUUACGCGUUGGACGUUUUCGCGUUGGUAAGAGAACGAUCGACGAGUUCGAAUUGAAGCGAUAUGCUUCCCUUUAGCUGUCCUUUAUCCGUCUCACUUCUUCCUCGACUAACGGUGAGCCCAUCUUACGACGGCGGAGCGUAUACCUCAGGCUAUCUCUAUUUAAUCUUGUCGAAGCAACGUUGCCGCACUAUAGCCGCCACGAGGCGUACUCUCGGAAGUGGUCUGCCCUCGGAUGACAGAAUGGCAACGCCGCGGCAUACCACCAUCUCCCUUCCACUCGAGCGAUUCUCGCUUUCCAAUUCUUUCCAUCUCUUUCUCUCCGCGUUACUUGCUACUCCGAUCGUACGGCAACACCACACGCGACAUUCGCCAAGGAGGUAGUAGGUGUCGUUACCUACGAUCGAGGGACGAGCAAAAAGAGGAAUGCCUCCACUGUAGCGAAUCGUGCGACCAUCGAAGUAAUACCGUUCGCGAGCCAGCGAUCCGAUCUUACCAGCUCGAUCCUUCGAAACGAGGUUAUAUAGACUCUUACGAUAAACUUGACGUUUCUUUAGCCUUUUGGGUAUAAGUUCAAUGUUGGUAUUAUAAACGAUGCCAUGCACGUUUGAAACCAGUCCAAUGUAAUACUUUAAUGCGCUAUAAGAGAAGCAUAUGUACGUAAUUCGACGUCGAACCAUUCAAUUGGUCGAUUUAACGGUAUCGUGUAUGUACGUUCACGUAUCCGUGAAAGAAACAGGAAUCUAACGGCGGAACAGUAAACGCUUCCCGCGCACUGCGUUUCAAACAGUCAAACAAUUCAUAUUUCAAUGAAAACGAUAUUAACGAUUUAACGAACAUUUUCCUUCGUUCGAGAAUUCUGAUUAUGGAUUUUUUCCAAAAGAACAUAGAACAAGCUAAAUAAUUUGAAGAGACAGGAGAGAGAGAGAGAGAGAGAGAGAGAGAGAGAGAGAGAGCAGAUACCUAUUUUUUCCGUAGCAGAAAAAAAAACGAAUCUCCAAGUGAAAAGUACUUGGCCAAUUUGGAUACAGAGAUGCACGUCAGUGAAGCGCGUGCGUGGGACAGUCGCGCAGGCAAGAAAACAAGCGAAACAGCAGCAGCAGCAGCAACAGCAGCAGCAGCAGCAGCAGCAGCAGCAGCAGCAGCAGCAGUAAGCAAGCAAGCAACCAAGCAAGCAACCAACCGACCAGCCAGGCAUCUCAGUUCUCUUCGGUGUCCCCGGCUGCACAUGUGUGCAGGGCAUGAGAGAAUUCUUCAUUUGACGUUUCAAAGAUUCCAACGAAAUAUUGAAUUCAGCAAAAUUGGAAUUAUCCAUUCGUGUGACCGAAAAUAGCUAAAAAUAAUGAAGCACGUUCAUUUUCUAGCUGGUCUAUGAUUUCGAAAUUGGAACCCCAGAUAAAAUAUUUAGAUUAGCAGCAAACUGUGCGAGACUGACGAACCCAGCACGCUUGGUAUGCAACAGCGAACCGACAUGAACUAUAUAUCGAGUUCACACAGGACUUUGAUCGACAUUUAACGUUUCCAUCUGGUCACCGGGUAUAAAUAGCAUUAUACGUUUCAAUGUGGCUGAAAUAUUUUUGUAACUGAAAUAAUAACGGAGCACUCGUCAAAAAAGCCGAACGAUUUUACAAUUUAUAUUCCUUGGAUCGAAAUUUAUUAACAACAAAGUAUCCCAUAAAAUUUCACUUAUUAUUUCAUAAAUUUCACAAGAAAAAGGAAUGGUUCUUCCCCUCGCUUUAUUUUUCUUUUCUACGUUGCUAUAUUUCGAUUAACAGAAAGAAGAUUAACGAUCAACUGCGAGCAUGCUGGUUCUUCUUGAUCUCAAUAAUCGACGAUUUCAAUUUUAAAGUAGGCGCGGUCACAUAAUGCACUCGAUAAGGCUAUCACAUUUUCCGCAAUUUCAUUACUGUCAUUGGUUUCACGCUGCUGUUCUAUUACACCGUUCUAGAUACGACUAAAAACAAUUACAAUUAGAGAACGGAAAUAAAGAUAAGAAGCUAAAGUUUUUUUAUCGUAAGAAUAUAUUUAUCGAAGGCACGCAAACUCUGAAUAACGUAGCUCUUCUACCCUUGUAAAAAUUACAUUUUAAAACAGCAGCUCCUCUCAUUACCACUUCAUUCCUUUUCAUUGGUUACUGCUAAACGUAUAUUAUUAAUUAUAAUGUCGUGUUUGUGAUAUUUCAGUUAAAUAAAGUAUGUGAAAUGAAGAGUAAAGAAAGAAUCCUAGUGCAAUAAACUUAUAUUCAUACCGCAUAUUCAAAACUUGUAUUCAUAAAAUUCAGUGCGAACACUGUACCCAUAAAAUCGAUAAUAAUUACUAAACAUAAAACGUUACAUUAUCGGCAGUAAUUUCACUUAAUAGGAUAAAUCAUUAAAGUCGUUGCAAUCGUGCAAAUAUUUCGUAGCCAAAACAAUCUAUAGAAUUUUCAGCAAGAAAUUAAUAAUUUUCCAAUUUUUACCCGUUUUCCAGAUACCCGUUAUAAAGAUACUAAUUAUAAUCAAAUUCGUCUUCUUCGUUAACUUCGAUAAUAAUAACAACAACGAUUUACAAAGUCGAUGAUAAUAAAUGCGAUAUAAGAAGAAGAAGAAGAAGAAAAGUAUUUAAAGCUUUCUGAAUAAGACUCUUAUUUACUUCGUUACACGUGUAACUGCGUGACUGUAGCAGUCAGUAGAGGCAUUUCUUUAACCAAGCACGAACAAGUUUAUGGAUUAGAAAAGCGAGCGUAGAACGGACAGCCGGCUACACACGUCCAGCUCGAAGAUCACUAUAAUUUAUUUCGAAUUUCUCGUAGCCGAACGCGCGCCCGCGCGCUCGUCCGCCCGCGCGCACUCGCGAAAAACUUCCAGUUGUAUUCCGACAGGAGAGCGCUCUGAUGCGCGUGUGCACGCACGAGUAUGAGUUUCGAGUUAUCCAAUCGUUUUACUUCUGUAAGAAUCCGCUCUACACACCAGCGACUCGCUAAUAAUUUCUACCUCUACACACUUUCACUUCACGCCGACUACUCCUUAACCAGAGUAGAGUGACUUAGCCUCGUAACGCGCUGAUAAAUUCAUCCGGGCGAACAUACGAGAUAUCUUUUUUUUUUUUUUUUCAUUUUCUGUCUUUUUGCCGAAGCGACCGUCGCGCGGUAAAAACCAAUCGAUUUCGAGAAGUUGGUAGAUCGUGAACCUCCCAAGAGCGAACAGCCUUUUAACGACCCUGUGAAGGCGGAGAAUUUCUUAACAAAGACACUUGGAAGACUUUUUUUAAUGGAGGAGGUAAGUAAAAUGGAAGGAGAUAUAGCUUAUAGCGGAUGGUGACAGCAAAGAAGUAUCGUCGUAUCACAAGUGCAUCGACGUAUCACAAAUGUAACGCAAAAAAUGUCAAAUAAUUACUAACUUAGAAAUUAGCAAUAUAUGUUACAACUAAAGAAAUAAACAUUCGAGCAAAUGUCGAUUGCAUACGUAUUUUAUUAUCUAUUAAUAAUAAGUGAGUUCAGUAAUAAAUUACUCGAUCAUCUUCGUGUCUAGUAAUCACUAUCAUCGCAAAAUUGUCAGCAUACCGAUAAAAGCAAUCUUGCAAUAAUAAAAUAUGAGAAAAGAAAAGAAAAAUUUUAUCGAUUUCAUGACCUAUAGCGAUGUCAUCGACGAUAUUAAGGUAUUUGUAGCGCGACAAUACACCUCAAAACUAACAUACGCGGAGCCUCGAAAGUCAUAUUCUUCACGCAUGUCCCAGAUUCUCUCUCUAGGAAGAAAUUUCUUGGCUGUCUGUACUUUCUACACGCACGCUAACAAACAAUUCAGAAAUGGCCAGAACGGCACUUUGCACGCCGAAAUUACAUAUUUCGCGUUACUUUUAUUGCAAAACGACGAGGUCGGGGUUGAAUUGUUUUUCUACAAAAAGAUUCUUCUAGCCAUUUCACGCAACAUAUUAGCUUUCUAGCAACUUUGUAAGAACGGUUUUCCCGCAAUUAAUCAAAAAGUAAUUUUUUCACCCAUUUACUACAGGGAUUACGCGAUAAAACUUUCAACUUUGAAGGCGAAUAUCUCCAUUUCGGUAAGACCAGGCUCUUUAAAAAUUGAUUUUUUUAUAUAUAAUAUACUAAAUAACGUAUCGUCAAAAUUUCAAUGAAAUUGUAAGAAAACUAAUCCACGCUACAAAUACCUUAAGCAAGAGAUAACACGGAUGUUCGCCCCGUGCUAACAAUUCCGAGAAGUGGUAGGGAUAACGCUGCGACAGUUAACCGAGCAAAGAUACAGUAGCUAAGUGCAUUACUGUAGAUAAUUGUAAAUUAUACAAAAGUUGGUAUUCCAUUUUAGUUCAUUCAUCUUUGUAAUACUAAUUCACGAUUCGCGUUACGUUAGCAUUUUUUCAAAUUUCAUGCGUGCGUAACACACACGUCAUUAAAUUCGAAAUGGAAACGUUAACUCUUCCAUUUGAAUAAAAAUAAUUCUAAAAAAUAUUUCGUUAAAAAUAUUUUAAUGAUACUUUAAGUGGACAUCUCGAUAUAUAUAUAUCUUAUACAUAUCUUCAAGACGUUAAAUUAGAGCUCGAACGUUGCAAGAGCAUAGAUUUAGAAUAAACACAUAAUAUGCUAAUAGAUAAAGAACAAUAUGAUUCAGAAGCACGCUGGGAAAACCGACUUGAUUUCCAUAAUCGACUUCCGUAACGAGUCACUGCAGAAAAAAUUUCCGUUCUUAUAGGGUGCGUAUUAUACUUCGUAGAAUCGAUCAAUCGGAUUAGUUAUUAUCCGAAUUUACUCGUCGCUGGAAAUUUAAGAAUUCGACCAAGAUUUAAACAAUCUGAUCUCAAAUACUUGAAUUACACCGAGUAAUUUAAACUCAAGAGAAAUGAUCGCGGAUACGUUAUACGGAAGAGGGAUGCAUGAUUUUGAUACUUUAGUUUUGACGCGAGUUUUGUCAAAUAGUAAAUUAAAUGACAAUAAUUAUUUUUUAACCACCCAAUCGAUUAAUUGUCGAUGGAUCACAAAAUGCAAAAACACGUCAAAAUAUCUAAAGAUAUUUUUCUCGUAAAGAAUACUCUCGGUAUGUUCGUUGUAAUAACCAAAUUGAUCGACUAGGUCUGCCGGUGGCGCGCGACGAAGAACAUGGCGUCAGCCCGCUCGAAUCACAGAUCCGCACUCCACGAUGCAUUCUGAGUCUGAGCGUAGUCGCGACCCAGCCGCGGGUUAUAUAGUCUAGCGAGCUUCGAUCACACUUGUUGAGGGGAAGCCCUCGUACGCCGCACCACCAACUCCUCCUCCUCCUCCUCCUCCUCAUAUAAUAUUCUCUCUCCCUCUUUCUUAUUCCCUACUCGCACCAUCUCAUCCUCGCUCCCUUGCCCCCUCCCCUCCCCCGCCCUUCUGCGCGCACCUUCUUCCCACUUUCGGUUCAUGAUCUAUCUCCCACCCCGAAUUAUACCUCUCUGCAAGUGACCCUGACCUUGCAUCAACUUCCGUAUUGUCCGUACGUUUGGAUUUCCGGAACAGUUGUCCAAUUAUCGAAAAAAAUUCUAGGGUAAAUUAUAGUAUCCGAGUUACAAAAUUUUUUGUUCGAAUGUGUAUUUUCGAGGAUAUUUUAAGUCGCUAAAGCCGAAAACGAUCGUUUUCCACGGAACUGGACGAUUUUGAAAACUUUCCCGACAAAGGUCUUAACACUCAUAACCGCAGAAAUCCACGUAAUGCCAUGAUCAUACAGAGCGGUAAGCGGUGAACGGUAAGCGGUAAGCGGCAAAACACGUGACGGCACAGUCAAUGCCAAUUUUAUCGCUUACCGUUCUCUUUAUGAUAACAGCCUAACCGGCCGCCUCGUGCCACCGCGUGCGGUCGGAAAAUAAAAAGUAACCGAAAGCCGAAAAGUAAGCCAUUGCUCACGAUUCAAAACCGUACAGAGUAAGCGGUACGUACAGUAGGUUAAGAGUACUAAAUUUAAAGAGAGGCAUUGUCAAAAUCCACGAGGACAUCGCGUAUCAACAGGUUGGCCGAAAUUUUGUACGCCUUAUUUCCGCGAAGAACGACGCUUAAUUUUGGGCUUCAACGACCUCAACAACUCAACUCAACUUUUAAGGAUCCAAGAGGUGCUAUUCUAGCCGAGUAUUUUACAGUCGGGAUUCUAUGGUAGAAUCAAAUUCAAUCUAUCUCGUUCUUGUCUUUUUCGUUUUCUCUGAUUCGUCGAUUACGAACGAUUUGACAAGUCGUUGCACAGUCGAUGCACUGUGACUAUCAUGAUUUGCGAUACAUCGAGCAUGGAGAAACGAUUGAUCGAAAGUUGCUGAAAUAGUGGCUUGGAUUAAAAUUUAUAGCAGUAUUCGACCGCUAACGCUUGAUUCGUUGCCUCAAAAUGGAAAAGGCGCCUUUGCAGCAACGUCCACAGUCCGAACAAACGAAUUUCAGAGUUUUCCGCUUGGAUGCAUCGCGCUUCCUUUUCGAGCGCGAAGCGUCGUGUCGUUGUGGUCGACGUUCGACCAACGUGAAGCGGCAUCUCGAAUCGCGUGAAAAUCCGAGACGGAGAUGGAGAAAUUGUAAAUUUCAUAAAUACAUAAAUACACAAGAAAAAAGAAAUAAAAAAGCUUUUUAGAAAUUGGACAAAUAA